CAGCAGCUGAUAAAACACUCGAACCUGACGUGAGCUCACUGGCUUCAGUUUUAUUUUUCAGGCAGAAAGCUCCAGGGGAGCAGCCGGGCACCAUCCUGCAUCCCCAGCAUGUCUCCCGCAAGGAGGCUGGCUGCGAGAGCUUGCACCCAGGGCGAUGCUGAACAGGGCUGGGAGCCAGGGGAGGAGCAGGACCUGCUUUGCAGGAAAGGCGGAUGAAGGUGGCUCUCCUGCGAGCCAGGCUCCUGGCUAUUGCACCUGCGACAAGGGCAGCCUGGUUUAAUUCAUGUACACCGCAGGAAGAAGGGAUAAAUGACCUGCUCUGUGGCAGAUAAGUUUUCUUUGCUUAAUUUGGGGAUUCUGCAGAGUCCCCCUCUGGCUGCGCAGAACCUCAUGCUCCAGGCUCAGUGAAAA